UUAUCCUGUGACACCACCCUGAUGGUUCAUUCCCUGGGCUGGAAGGGGGAGAGCAUGUUGUCUUCACCAGGGCUGGUUGCUGUAUGCAGUAGAAAGACACGCUUCUUGACUCAACGUUGUUUCAACAGUGACAUUGUAGUGGGAGACCAACUGAAAUGACUCUUCAACCUCUCUGCAUUGGGAGGUCCCAGGGGAUCACUGUUGCCAUCUGAGCCAGUCCGAGGUGUUGGAUAGUAUCUUUUAAGAAGAUUGAAGGGAAUUAAAUCUCCAGGAUCAACUCUCUCUUCCAAGCAGCUGACGAGUUUUAGUGUGUUCAGUGUGGCAGUUACUGGAAAUAACUGAAGUCUGCAGAGGAUGAACCGGGAUACAUAAAAAUGUUCUUCAUGCUUAAGAUGACAAUUUAAAAUUUAACUACAACUCCCAACUUAAUGAUGGCAGAUUUACACAUGGUGCCAUCCAACUCUGUCUUGCUUUAUAACUAGGUGGCUUCCCUGAAUUAGGGCUGGGCACCUGAGAAAUAGCAAAAGUAUGGAAAGCCUCAUCAUGCUCCUGAUGUGUGGUAUUUUAGUUAACUAGGAUAUUUAAAAGUAAUUAAAGUGUAUAUAGUUUAUUAAAUGAAAGAUGUUGCCUACUUGUGAGUUGUGAUCUUUUUCCUCUAUGAAGGCCAGGAGCAUAAGACAUUAGCACAGACACGAACUCAGUUGCUAUUGGAUUUACAGGUAAAAUAGUAGAUAUUGGUGGUGAGAGGCAGCCCUGAGGAGAGUGGGUAGGGAAGAAAACCGGAGUGGAAGCAGGCUGCAGUACAGCAGGGAAGGCAUACUUUUAGGAGGAGAGAGAACAGCAAAUAGCUAUGACAGAAAACUUUCUCCUUAAAUAUGAUAUUCAUGAGGCCUGUAUAUCCACACAGUAAACAAAUAUAAGCAGACUCUUUCAAUACACAUUUUUAUUUUUCCGUAUAAAAAGCCCUUGCUUCAGUUCAUGCCAAGUUUUACUGCCAGGUGCAGUAUAGAAAUCUCUCAUAACAGUCGAUGUUGUAACUUUGGAGGCUUUCAACCUCCUUCUCAGUCCUGUGGAGCAGAUCAGAGGUCCCAGUGCCUCUCAGGAGGGAAUCCAAGUUCAGUCCAUGGAUUUAGAUGAGUGGCAAGCAACUGCUCUGGUGACUUUUCAUCUGGGUACCGUGAGGGGGGAUAACAGACAUAGACUUCUGAAUAUAUCCACAGCAGUAACUGUAGAACCUCUAACCCCUGAGUUUGUGGUGUGUGGUUUGAGAUGUGCCUCGAGCCACUGGUAGGCAUGGGUUCCCUACCUAGCAGUGAGCAGUAGUGAGUUUGGCUCUGGAUCUUGAACUCAACUUCUCUCCGGCUAUGUAUUGCAGGGGGAAUUUCAUAUCAAUAAAAUCAUGAGGUUACUCCAGCCCUUAGUCAAGAUGGGGUAACUGAAAGGUGAUUUUUGCUUUUUAUUUAAACAGGAUUGCUUAUGAAAUUUUAAGCACUUCACGUCGCAGAACAAUUUUUCUUUGCUUACUUGGUGUGAUUACACAAAGCUCUGCAGGAAGAUGUGCUGUAACUACGGUGUCAUUAAACAACACUUUCUAUUGGUGGGUUUGUUCUCUCCUUCAUGAGAACAUCAAAUUGUCAUUGAUGUUACUGGGAACUGUGCGUCUUUGGACGGCACGCAGAUUAAUACUGAGAUGAUUCCCUGGCCUAGGCAAACACAGAAACAAAAAAUAUUAAAGAAAAUCUCUAUAAAUAAAUGUCUGUCUCGCAGUAAGUUCUGUAAGAACUCAUUUUCUCAGAUAUCCAGCUUUUUCUUGUAAUUCAGAUCAUACUAUGAAGGGAAGUUAAAUUACUCAACAGGGAAUGUGGCUUACAGAUAAGUUCUGCAAGACAGCAGAGCGUACGCCAGAGUUAGAAAAGUAGUAAGUACAAAGUCAAUUGAAUGGCGUGCAAUUAUCUCCCAAAUUAUGGGGUGUGUUUUUGAACCCCCAUAGAUUUUUUAUGGAAUUGCAAGUUAGACAGAUUAAGGAAUCCCACUCCACCCACUGCUGACCUUCCUCUGGCUGAAAAUAACCUCUAAAAAAACCCACAAGGAUAAUUCUAACUACCAGCUCAUAAAGCUAGUUGACCUUCUGUGGUGAAAACAGAUUUGUAUAUUAACAUGUCACAGUCCUCUUACAGAAGAAAUAGGAGUACUAUAAAACUAGCCCAUGUUUGAUUAGACUUAGCUGUAUCAGGAAAAAUGGCUUUGUAAAUGAAAAGUGGAAGUUAUGGGUUUAUUUAGAUAUUUUAAAUGUCUUUCUUUUUCUCCUCGCUGAACAGCUGCAGCUGACUGAAAUGCAAAUAUCAAUCCAGUUUCCCUUGGAAAUAGUUAAUUCUUCAUGAAUGGGAACUUGAGUAUAAAUUACAUGUAUAAUUCAUUUCUGUAAUUCUAUAAAUCAUUUUCUAACUGGAAUUUGGAUAUUUACAUACAUGAAAAAGUGGUCUUCCUCUCUUCUCACGACCUGCAUACAGAAAGAGUCCCUUCUACAAAUGGAUGACAUCAGAACUUUAUUUAGUGCUUCCAGGCUUCUGUUUGUCUGGGAGGGAAUAAUCUGAUUCCAGAAGCUAGAAGGGAAAAUGCAAGGCAUAAUGAAUGUAAUAGAAAUGGUAAAUUCUUAUGAAGAACUCCUCUAUAUAGUAAUGUUUUUUUGUUUUGUGUUGGUUGGUUGGUUGUUUUCUGAGGGGGGCUGGGGAUGGGGAGAACUCUGCUAUCCUUAUAUUAAAUAAGGUUUCUCUUUUAGGUGAAGAUUUAAGUGUUGUUCAGGUUUAUUGGUGGGUUUCAUUGGUUAUUUCCACAUGGCUUCCUUUUCCAGCCUGGGAAUACAGAGGAAAAAUGAAACAUGGCCAGGAAAGGACAGGGAUCUGUGAGUGACAGGAAAAACUGGCUACAUUUGUUCAGUAAUCUCUUCAUUUAGAUGUAUAAAGGCAUUUGGGAUCUAAAGAAGCAGACAGGCAAAAUGUCUGUGAGAGCUUUUAAAAGAGCCUAGCUGUCUGACUCAAUUGAUAACAAAUAAUUAUGAUAGAAAGCCAAUCACUUCUUGGUUUCUGAGGGCCUAAAAGUCGUUUUUGAAAAGCAGACUUGAAGCCUGAAAAUAUUUUGAAAAUUUUGCCUACCAUGUCUCCCUUGUCUGAAAGCAUCAAACAGAUCCGGAAAGAAGCCAAAACUGGUAUUAAGAUGUCUGUAAUGUCAUUUCUAAUUUGCUUAACGGUAAAAGCUCUAGCAAGGCGUAGUUUGCUAUUCUGUAAGGUUUGCACUAAGAAUUCUUGCCUGUGAUAUGAUUAAACCUCUUUCUGACAUAGAUCUGUAAAACAAAUGAAUAUUUUAUAAUAAAAAGUAGAAGCAUUAUGAUAUUUUAAGGGAAAAAAAACCUUCAGUAUCUUGUAAUUCUGAGUGCACAGUUGGAGACACCUUGGAGGCAAUUUACAUCAGCUGAAAUCAGGCCCUUUUAAGACUCCUCAAGCAAAGCAGUGAAGAAGCCUGGUGUGAUAAUUAGGGGAAGAACUUCCAUGGGGUUGUUUUACCUACAGAGCUGAAUAUCCACACCUCUCAUGGAGGGCAGGCCCAUAGAUGCGUGCUCUGCAGUGUAACAAACGUGUGUGCAGCAGGCUUGCUUGGAUUAAUGUUGCCUGCCUGGGAGCUGGGGGACAGGAAGGGAGGCAAAGGAUGGGGCUGAUGGCACUGUAUGUCCCAAAGGAUCUGCCAUGCAGAGGACUUGCUGAGGCAGGGGAUGCUGAGUCAGUGUGCAAUGUGAAAUAUGCUGCAGAGGUUACCGAAGAGCAGAUUUUGGCGCAGAAAACGGGAGACAGGAUGUAAGGAAAGAAAUGCUCCCUUUGUAAUACACCAUCAGAAGUGUUUAUUCUGCAGAGGUGAGAAGAACCAAUAAUAAGGUGUAUGCACAUCAAUUAUUUAAAACAAUUCCAGCAAAUACAGACUUUGACCUCCCUCACCACCCCCCAACUAAAAAUACUUGGAGUAAUCAAAAUGUAUUUUGAUUUUUCUUCAACACCAAGAAUUUGUUCAACUGGAUUUGCUGUCGUCAGAUAAGAGGGGGGAAAAAAAAAGGAAAAAAAUAAACAGCUUGGGCAAGACAGUGAAGUUUUUCUUCAGCUCUAUCAAGAAGAUGUCUUUUGUUUUGAAAUACUACAGAAGUUAUACUAAAUCUUACAAAAGUUAUCGAGUCAUUGGAACACUGAACACUUCAGAAUCUGUCAUUUGCAAAUCCUUGUUUAUUUUUGGUAGCUUUUCUAGAUAGGACAGUGAUGGAGGAGUCAAAUCCAUAGACAGGUCCACACCUUUGCAGUCACACUAAAGGA